rnacentral:rRNA from 1 species
AUUGAACGCUGGCGGCAUGCCUUACACAUGCAAGUCGAACGGUAACAGGUUAAGCUGACGAGUGGCGAACGGGGGAGUAAUGUAUCGGAACGUGCCCAGGUGUGGGGGAUAACUGCUCGAAAGAGCAGCUAAUACCGCAUACGACCUGAGGGUGAAAGCGGGGGAUCGCAAGACCUCGCGCAAUUGGAGCGGCCGAUAUCAGAUUAGGUAGUUGGUGGGGUAAAGGCUCACCAAGCCGACGAUCUGUAGCUGGUCUGAGAGGACGACCAGCCACACUGGGACUGAGACACGGCCCAGACUCCUACGGGAGGCAGCAGUGGGGAAUUUUGGACAAUGGGCGCAAGCCUGAUCCAGCCAUGCCGCGUGCGGGAAGAAGGCCUUCGGGUUGUAAACCGCUUUUGUCAGGGAAGGAACGCUCUGGGUUAAUACCCUGGGGUAAUGACGGUACCUGAAGAAUAAGCACCGGCUAACUACGUGCCAGCAGCCGCCGUAA